rnacentral:lncRNA from 1 species
UGGGGUUCAUUAUAAUCUUAACAAAUAUAAGAUACAGCAUAUGAUGAAACAUAAAUGCCUUUCUUUAUUAAUAACAUGUCAUGUAUAUGAGCAGAAAGAUCAAAGAAAAUUUCUCACAAUACAAAUUGUGAUUGGCUUGUAGGACAAUAAUCUUUCAAUCUUUCACUUAUGGUAAAGCCAAUCGCGCUUAUACUUGAUACCUUUAUAAUCAAGAAGGCGAUCGAACUGCUACUAUAGUAAAG